rnacentral:rRNA from 1 species
GAUGAACGCUGGCGGCAUGCCUUACACAUGCAAGUCGAACGGUAACAGGUCUUCGGAUGCUGACGAGUGGCGAACGGGUGAGUAAUACAUCGGAACGUGCCCGAGAGUGGGGGAUAACGAAGCGAAAGCUUUGCUAAUACCGCAUACGAUCUAAGGAUGAAAGCAGGGGACCGCAAGGCCUUGCGCUCACGGAGCGUCCGAUGUCAGAUUAGGUAGUUGGGGGGAUAAAAGCUUACCAAGCCGACGAUCUGUAGCUGGUCUGAGAGGACGACCAGCCACACUGGGACUGAGACACGGCCCAGACUACUACGGGAGGCAGCAGUGGGGAAUUUUGGACAAUGGGCGCAAGCCUGAUCCAGCCAUGCCGCGUGCAGGAUGAAGGCCUUCGGGUUGUAAACUGCUUUUGUACGGAACGAAAAGACUCUGGUUAAUACCUGGGGUCCAUGACGGUACCGUAAGAAUAAGCACCGGCUAACUACGUGCCAGCCGCCGCCGUAA